rnacentral:rRNA from 1 species
GUGCCAGCAGCCGCGGUAAUACGUAGGGUGCGAGCGUUAAUCGGAAUUACUGGGCGUAAAGCGAGCGCAGACGGUUACUUAAGCAAGAUGUGAAAUCCCCGAGCUCAACUUGGGAACUGCGUUUUGAACUGGGUAGCUAGAGUGUGUCAGAGGGGGGUAGAAUUCCACGUGUAGCAGUGAAAUGCGUAGAGAUGUGGAGGAAUACCGAUGGCGAAGGCAGCCCCCUGGGAUAGCACUGACGUUCAUGCUCGAAAGCGUGGGUAGCAAACAGGAUUAGAUACCCUGGUAGUCC